GAAUGACUGGAUGGUGCAGACUUUGGAUCCAUGAUUACGGUGUUCUGGGAGAGAAGCAACAUUUAAAGAAGGUAAACUGGAAUUAAGAAUUGUAUGAUCCAGAGUAGGAGCCACUGCAGGAAGGACCUGAUCUUGACUUGGAGCAGCUGCCAACAUAAUGCUGCUGCAAACUGAAGAGAUAACAUAGUUCAAUCAUUUGCUGCCUGAACAUGGACCCUGUGCUGUGC